GCAGUGUCUCUUCGAUUUUUGAGAAAGUAAUCUUGUUGAGAGUCUGGCUCUUGAAAUUUGGAGAGUGGUUCCUCUUCGAUUUUUGAGCAAGCAAUCUUGUUGAGAGUGUUUUCUCGAAUAUGAGUAAAGGUUGGGCAUUUUUGCCAGUCUGCCUUGCCACGGAGCACGGAGCUUGACACACAUUGGGACUUACUAGUUAUCAAGCAGUGGCGCUGUUGCUUUACCCUUGUGGGUAAUAGUAGGGUAGUUGGACCUUCAAAAUUUAUGUGUCUAAACUUUGUUAGAGAUAUUUG
rnacentral:lncRNA from 1 species